GGAUCAUUACAGAGUUGAAAACUCCCAACCCGUGUAAACCUUUACCUGUCUCGUUGCUUCGGCGGCCCCGGCCGCCGGAGGUUUGGCAAACUCUGUCUUUUAUACGGUGGAUCUCUGAGGCGCAAGCCAACCAAUCAAAACUUUCAACAACGGAUCUCUUGGUUCUGGCAUCGAUGAAGAACGCAGCGAAAUGCGAUAAGUAAUGCGAAUUGCAGAAUUCAGCGAGUCAUCGAAUCUUUGAACGCACAUUGCGCCCGCCGGUACUCCGGCGGGCAUGCCUGUUCGAGCGUCAUUUCACCACUCAAGCCGCGGCUUGGCGUUGGAGACCCCGCCCCGGCGGGCCUCCCAAGUAUAUCGGCGGUUCCGCCGGCACCCUCAGCGCAGUAAAACCUCCGCUCUGGUGGUCGGCGGCCCCAGCCCCGAAACCCCCUAUUUUUUUCAGGUUGACCUCGGAUCAGGUAGGAAUACCCGCUGAACUUAAGCAUAUCAAUAAGCGGAGGAAAAGAAACCAACAGGGAUUGCCUCAGUAACGGCGAGUGAAGCGGCAACAGCUCAGAUUUGAAAACUGGCCCUCGGGCCCGUGUUGUAAUCUGCAGAGGAUGCUUUCGGCGGAGCGCCCGCAAAGUCCCCUGGAACGGGGCGCCUUAGAGGGUGAGAGCCCCGUACGGCGGGACGCCGAGCCGGUGUAAAGCUCCUUCGACGAGUCGAGUAGUUUGGGAAUGCUGCUCUAAAUGGGAGGUAAACGUCUUCUAAAGCUAAAUACUGGCCAGAGACCGAUAGCGCACAAGUAGAGUGAUCGAAAGAUGAAAAGCACUUUGAAAAGAGGGUUAAACAGCACGUGAAAUUGUUGAAAGGGAAGCGCCUGUGACCAGACUCGGGCCCCUCGGAUCAUCCGGCGUUCUCGCCGGUGCACUCUGGAGGGCCCGGGCCAGCAUCGGUUUCGCCCGGGGGAGAAGGGCGCCGGGAACGUAGCUCCCCUCGGGGAGUGUUAUAGCCCGGCGUGCGAUGCCCCGGGC
rnacentral:rRNA from 1 species